CUCACCUGCAGUGAGCAACAUCGGUUCGCGUCGUCUAUAAACCCGUAGGUCCGUCCGCGAGGAGGAAAAGAAAAGGAGACGCGGCACAAAAAGAAGGAAGAGGAAUCUCCUCGCUUCCAGAGGGAUGGAGUGGGGAGGGGAAGGGGAGAGGAACGGAGAUCGAAUACGAUCGGCCGCCGCGUGGAGAACCUACCGCUAUCUUUCCGCGUAUCCUUUCUCCGCGCGAAUACAGUCCACGCCGAUUUGCCUGUGCCUCUACCGCCUCUACGAGAAUGCUUGCCGUGCCUGCCUGUCGCUCUAGCGCCGCUUUUACGGGGAGUCGCUGCCAAGAGAGAACACGCCGUCCCUUUAGUCCCUCCUACUCUUGCACGCGGAUCAUGGAGAAAGAAGCGAGAAGAAGGAAACAGGCGUGGACGAGAGGAUAUGGGUAUUUACGAUGAACGCAAAAACCACAGAGCCAGGGAAGGAGAAAUAUCGACGGACGCCUAAUUUGAACCAGUCUCGAGCACAUAGUCGUGUCUUCAUCGAUCGACCGUCACCUUGAAUUAAGCGUCUCGAGAGAGCCGGCUAGUCGGUCGCAAGAAAGAAAGGAC